AGAGUUUGAUCCUGGUUCAGAUUGAACGCUGGCGGCAUGCCUAACACAUGCAAGUCGAACGAGAAAGAGGGGCAGCUCUCGAGUAAAGUGGCGGACGGGUGAGUAAUACGUAGGAAUCUACCUUAUAGUGGGGGAUAACCUGCCGAAAGGCGGGCUAAUACCGCAUAACCUCUACGGAGAAAAGGUGGCUAGCAAUAGCCUUCGCUUUAAGAUGAGCCUACGUCGGAUUAGCUAGUUGGUAGGGUAAUGGCCUACCAAGGCAACAAUCCGUAGCUGGUCUGAGAGGACGAUCAGCCACACUGGAACUGAGACACGGUCCAGACUCCUACGGGAGGCAGCAGUGGGGAAUAUUGGACAAUGGGGGAAACCCUGAUCCAGCAAUGCCGCGUGUGCGAUGAAGGCCUGCGGGUUGUAAAGCACUUUCGGUGAGGAAGAAAAGCUCAAAUAUAAUACAUUUGAGAAUUGACGUUACUCACAGAAGAAGCACCGGCAAACUCUGUGCCAGCAGCCGCGGUAAUAC
rnacentral:rRNA from 1 species